UAAUGAGUGAAUUGAAUCCCAAAAGCAAAAGAGUGAAAAUGGACGAGUACAAUGAAAGGAGAAGAAACUCUAGAAAGAAAGAGAUUCCCUUCUCUGGUACUCGUGGUUUUUGGUACUUGCAGUUCAAGUGCCCUGUCAAGUAACAGUAGUCCCGAGUUAGAAAAAGGUCGUGGAAAGAAGAGAAAAGGACCCUUAAAAUCUUCUUCUGGUGGAACCAUUGAAAGUCAAGCCAACACCACAAAAAAGGUUACGUCAAUGAUCAUGUAAAUUCUUGUUCAUCUUUUCAAGAAUAUAUGAAGCAUGUCAAUCAAACAAGUGCAUUACACAACCUUAUUAAAAAUAGUGUCAUAGAUGAAAAGAAUGACACAAGAAUGCCAAAGAAAUCUUGGAAAGAAAGGGUAGAAGCAACAGAGUGUGCCUGGAAAGAAGCAUUUCAAGCUCUGCUUGAAUAUAGAUGAAGAUAUAUUUGCAACACAAGCCUUUCAUUUCUUGCCUUGUAAAAAAUGUGGUUUGCAAC